AUCAGCACUAGCAUCUUCAGCGGCCACAUUCAGCUCACAGCAUUCACAUUAUUGCAGGAAAAAGGUCAGAGUUCAAACAGGGACCUGGAGGAUGUUGGUGAGAUGAUGCUGAGGAUGGACAAAGAUAUAAAGAUUAUUGGUGAGGGAGGACAAGAUUAGAGGCAGUGGCGCCCCCUAAAGGAAGCAGCAAAAAGACAAGAAGAAGAAGAUUGGAAAACGAUGAAGACAGUCGUCAUCUGAUGUUCUGCUUCCUCAUCUGAAGUGUAAUGACAUAACACGCUUUGAUCCUUUUAGAUUGUUUGCAGAAUUAAAUCUAAAUUUAUUUGCAUGUUUACAAUUAUUAUCAUUCUGAAGUGCAGAUUUCUGAGAAAACACGUUUCAAUUUAUGUUUGAUGGAGUUUUGCUCAAAUUUCCAAAUAAAACAAACAAAAAGGCACAUAAGAUACUCGUCCCUCAAGUUCAGGAUGAGACACUCGGAGCACAAAGGAAAGCUUUCCACAGCAGGGAGUGGAGGUGGGUGUUCUACAGAUGAGUCAUGACAGCGACCCAUUGAGAACGAGCCCCACCUCCACAGCCCAGCGUCUGACAAUCCGUCCUCAUCACCUCAAUCCAGCGGAGGUGAGGGUCGAUGGGCCCGUGUUGGUGUGGGGUCGCUGCGAUGACGCGCAGAACCCUGUCAAGCUGUUCAAGCAGCCAAUGACUGCUGCGCUGUGGAAGCGCUCGCAUGCUCCUCGUAUUGUGCAGCAUCCUUGGUUUGUAAACACUGACGGCAGAAAAUGAUUCAAAGAAAAAGAUGCAAUCGCAGGAAGAGAGUCAUUGAGAAAAAUAACAAGCUGUUUUUAUCUUCUGCUGCUUUUCAUGGUUAGAAAUGAAACUCGGAAACAAACACUGAAAAAAAAAAAAAAACCUGAUAAGAUACAAUACAAUCCAACGUGAUACGAUAGAUACGAGACGAUAAGAUAGGAAAAUAAAAUACAAUAAAAUAAAUAAAAUACUCUGUGAUAAGAUUCGAUACAAUCCAACACGAUGCAAUAAGAUACAACACAAAAUGAUGAGAUAAAUAAUAUAAGAAAAAUAAAA